rnacentral:rRNA from 1 species
UGGGGAAUUUUGCACAAUGGGGGAAACCCUGAUGCAGCGACGCCGCGUGAUUUAGAAGGCCUUCGGGUUGUAAAAAUCUUUUCUAUGGGAAGAAAAUGACAGUACCAUAGGAAUAAGGACCGGCUAAUUACGUGCCAGCAGCCGCGGUAAUACGUAAGGUCCGAGCGUUGUCCGGAAUCAUUGGGCGUAAAGGGUACGUAGGCGGGUAAGCAAGUUAGAAGUGAAAUCCUAUAGCUCAACUAUAGUAAGCUUUUAAAACUGCUCAUCUAGAGGUAUGGAAGGGAAAGUGGAAUUCCUAGUGUAGCUGUGAAAUGCGCAGAUAUUAGGAGGGAUACCGGUGGCGAAGGAGGCUUUCUGGCCAUAACCUGACGCUGAGGUACGAAAGCGUGGGUAGCAAACAGG